AGGUGUGUAACUCACUCAAAAUCAAUAGUGGCACGAACUCAUUUGGUCUCUCCUACGACAACAGAAUUUGCCAGCUGGUCAGAAGGACCUUCAUGACGUUGGCUGGCAAAACCUUCCUGGUCUUUAGAGUUGCGUUUGACGUGGCAUAAUGAAAUGCUAGCCUGACCUCAUCAGCUUAGAUACCUCCCUGUCCUUUGGGAAAACAGAGUUGUGCAAUAUAGCCUGUUUUAAUAACUGCUGGCAAAUGCAGACCAACCUUUUCAGUCCAGCAAUCGCAGACAGGUAAGUUGUACGUCAUUCCAAUUUUUUUUCACUUGGCUUAAAACAGAGGAGUAAUCUUGCUGUAAAAAUUCUACAUUAAAAAUUGUAUGCUUGAAUGUGUAUUUUUUUAAAACUGUCAGAAAAGGAGUAAAUUCAACCCUGACUCUCUGCAUUUCCCAAGGACAGCCUCAGUUACAAUCUGUCCUCAAUUGCUCAGCUAUAAUAAUAGAUAGUAAAACAGGUAUCUGAUAGAAUAUAUCCUGUAAGAGAGACAGUCAUUUAUAUCGAUUCUCAUGACUUAUGAACAUCAUAACUUCAGUUGAUGUAAAUAUAUACCAGUGACUAGGUAUCUGUAACAAAAUACAAUACUGCUAAAGCACAAAAAAGAGACUUCAGAGUUGAAUUUCAGUGAACAAAAUAGAUUUUGUAGUGGGCUGAAUAAAGAGAGAUUUGCUUUUCUAAAGAAUGUUAAUAGUUGUUACAGUAGGAAAGAAAAAAGAGCAGAAAUGCUGCUUUAGUAUUAGUGUCCUACUCUAAAAAGUAAGCCUGUACUUGAAAACUCUCAAGUACAUGAACAAGAAACAAGACUGCAUGACACAGCCUAAUGCUGCAAAAGUAAAGGACUGGCACAAUAGCUGUGAUUAACAGUAUACAAACAGAAGUCACUGAAAUAGCUAUCUAUGAAGGCAGGGAUGCUUUGUCCUGCAUCACCAGAAGUAAAAAUAAAAAGUGUUUUUUAUUUCAUUGACUAUAAAUACAGCUAAAAUCCCACAGUCCCAUAGGUUCAGCACCUUCAUCAGGAAAGGCAGAAAAGAAGCUCCAUCUGGUGGCAUGGUUGAUUGUAAUUGCUUUUCAAUUUCAUCUAAUUGUAAAUACAUUCCUCUUCAGCAGCAACAUGAAAAACUGAAGUAAUGUGUAAAGGAUCACCUGUUGUGCAAGUGGAACCAGCAUUGUCUAACACUUUAAGAUCGGAAAACACUCUAAAAUCAGGACCUUUUUCUAUUUGAGGCAAAUCAGUUGAAGCCUUUCAAUACAAGGCACACGUGAUCCUGUCAGGGUACUAAUCUGGGACAGAAAAAGAUCAUCAGAAAUGAAAGGGUGCAUUAGCACACUUCAAGCCGUGAUCUGCUGCAGCCUGGGGUGGGGAGAAGAGAAGGCAGAAAUCACUGGUUAAAGGAUGAAGGAGGGGGAGAUGUGUAAAUGUGAAGUCAAGGUUGCUGCUGAACCUGUCACAUAACAGUUCAUGGAACAUUUACAGAGGUAUUAAAAAGAAUAUUGCUGUGUGUCAUAAUAAGGAAAUAAACCAUUCUUCAGUUAGUUAUUUUUUAUAAUAAAUUAACUUUUCUUCAAUGACCAGAUGGCAAUUUUGUUGAAAAGAUGUCUUGAAAAAAAAAUCUUGAACCGUUCUAGCUGCAACAGAUUUGCAACAUCUUAGUAUGAAAACAAAGUAGAUGCUUGAAUCAAUUUCUUAUGUAGUAAAGUGACUAAAUUUUAGGAAGGUGUUUUCUUCUUCCCUGCCUCCACUAUAUUCUUACCACCUAAGCUGUGAAAACUGUAGACAUGGACAAAAGCAAUGAAGGAACCUGGAUGCACAGAACAGCUUAGCAAAAAUAAAAGAUCAGGUUGACCAACACCUAUACUGGCUAUUUGCAAAGACUUGCUGAACAAAAUGCUGGUGGUCAGGUAAAAUAAUUUGACCUAAGCUUACGAAUAAUUUUAGCAAGUAUUUAAUUGCGAAUAUCUGUGUACAUGCAACAUCUGAGUAAUUUCAGCAAAGUCACUGCUUUGCAGGGUUGGGAGACACAUUACCCCAAGCUGAUGUUAUAAAGUGUUAUAAGCAUUGUAAAAUAUAAAACUAAUUGGGUAAAUGAUACUAGGUGUAGCCACUGAAAUUCUAUGCCUCGUUUCAUGUACAAACUCAUGUCUGCUACUGCUCCUUCAAGAAGCCACAGCAAUUUCUCUCAAGACAGUAUCCUAGCCCACAUCUGUGCUAAACCCCAGCAAUCUUAAACACAGAUAUACAUAAACCUUGUCCUGCAAACUCAGUAAAAAAAAAUACACUUUGUGUACUCUUUUGUAGUGCCCACAUUUUAAAGGGCAGUAUGCUGCAUUUCAUCAAAUCAAUGCAUCAUUACUUUUUUUUAGAGUAGACCAGAGCUUAGUAUUAAUUACUCAAUUAAAAAAAAAAAAAUCCAUCUUAAAAGAAUGAUGGGAAUACAGAUUCAAGCACCAAUACACUAAAAAUUGCCCUAAGUCACAUUGCUUUUAUAACCUUAAUGCAGCCCUUUUUUAUUUUUUUUGAGCGUAUCAUUUAGGUUACAGCCUUUAAUUAUGCAUUUUAGGCCAUUUUUCUCUCAGGACUGUCUCAUUAAGCACACAAGAUAGACAGCUGCUCAAUAGUGUUAUCACUGCUUUUCUCUACAGAGCUCAAAAUGUAGCUGUGGGCCUUACUUACUGAACAGUAUUCCAGUCCUGCUCUGGAGAUGUGAUUGGAUUUCCUCACAGGAUCUCCAGUUGUGGUCACAGUAUCUUCAAGUGCCUCCAAAAUAGUAGACUACUAUGAGAUGAAGUAUUCCUGAUUUUACCAUUAGAGAGCUGAGCUGUGGAAAGGCCAAGCAGAAGGACUCAACUCAUUUCAGUUUGAAAAUACUUCAAGAAGCCACUCCUUGCAAGGAAUUCAAAAACAAUUCACUUGAAAGAAGACACUUUGUUUCCAAAAUAAAGAUGUUCUUGAAGAAGAAGUGGUGCCGUUCACACCCUGCUCUGUCUCCUUGCAUUUAAUUUCACUUAUUUUUAUAUGCUGUUUUCAACUUAUCCCACCAAGUGAAGAAGAAAUGGCAUUUCUUACUUCUCCCACAAGAAGGAUGUGUUCAUUCCCCAAAAGAAGUUCCUGCCUUUUCACUCCAAAGGUUUACCUUGGCUGAAUGCAGAGGAUUUUUAUUUAACUGUGAAGCCUGUGUCACUUUCAAAUUUGCAGAUUAAUGAGUCUAUGUAAAAUUCUAUGUCUCUUUCCUGCCGUGUGUUCAGGGGGUGUCUUAUCACUAUGGUUUACAACUGAAUCCAUGUAAUCAUCAUUUCUUGAUUCAUAUGACAGAACAGGAAGACCCGUAAAGUAGUAGCAUUCAACUACAAGAUGCAAAUCACUUUCUUUAUUUUUCACAUUUAAGUGCAGUGGAUAAAAGCAGUGAGAUGGUGACCUUUCAGUAUGUUCUGCAGAGAGCUCUAAUCCUCCAGGCAACCAGUGAAGUCUAAAAUAUGUUUAUACUCUUAUCUGUGCUUCCGUGUUUCAUAUAUUCUUAUGUGUUUAUAGUCAUAUACAUGUGUGUAUUUACAUUAAUCCGAUAGUUACCUGUCACACAGUCUUUUCAAUACUUCCUGAACCAAACUUGCUUCCUCUGAUCCUGUUAGCCAGUUAAACAUUAGCUGCUGUCAAGCAUUGUAGGAGGGUGGGGGCAGGGAUAAUUUUUUUAGUGUAUUUCUAGACUAAAACUUUGAAUCUUGCUCAAAUGAAUGAAAUGUACAAUUCUAAUUUUAAA